rnacentral:lncRNA from 1 species
CUUUCCUGUAUUUAUUACUUCCUGAGGGAUUUUUCUGCACAGAAAAGAGUAUGUAGGUGAGUGGGUUCUUGCAUCAUAGUGAUUCUAAAUGACUAGAAGUGAAGGGUCUGUCUGGCACAGCAGUUGGGGACCAGUACUGAGAUUUCAGGACUUCCGAUAUGACCGUCUUUGUGGAUCAGGCUGCCUUUACGUUCAAGGUCGGAAGCAGAG